rnacentral:rRNA from 1 species
UACGUAGGGGGCGAGCGUUGUCCGGAGUUAUUGGGCGUAAAGAGCGUGUAGGCGGCCAGGUAGGUCUGCUGUGAAAACUCGAGGCUCAACCUCGAGACGUCGGCGGAAACCAUCUGGCUAGAGUCCGGAAGAGGAGAGUGGAAUUCCUGGUGUAGCGGUGAAAUGCGCAGAUAUCAGGAAGAACACCCGUGGCGAAAGCGGCUCUCUGGAACGGUACUGACGCUGAGACGCGAAAGCGUGGGGAGCGAACAGG